rnacentral:lncRNA from 1 species
CCCAUAUACACUAUUUAAAAUAUGAAGAUCUAAAAUAUAAUAAAGCUUAAAAAUAAGAGAAUAAAAAUAUACAUCAUACAAACACUAGCAGUAACAACUGGUAUAAUUAUGUAAGUUAAACUUUGAAGCAAUUAGUAUCAUUAGAAAUUCUAUCACUCAGGAUUCUACUGAGAAGCAGAACUCAAUUUUUGAUUGAUAGACAGACAGACUGACACACAGACUUCAAGGAAUCAGUUUACAUGAGUGUGGGGGCUAGAAGGUCCAAAACCUGGAAGACAACUCAAAAACUAGGGACCUCUGGUAGGCACUUAUGUUGCAUUUCACAGGCAGAAUUUCUUUAGGAAAUCUAAAUUUUUGUUUGUAAGGCCUUUUAACUGCUUUAAUAUGUCAAACCCAAAUUAUUGAACUUAAUAUUUACUUAAAGCCUGCUAGUUGCAGAUGUUAACCACAUCUACAAAAUACCUUCACAGAAAUUUAGAUUAGUGUUUAAUUUAAUAUCUGAGUAUUACAGUCUAACCAGGCUGGCAUAAAACUAAUCAUCACAGAGAUAAACAAGGAUAUUUUAUAACAUAAAAAUUUCAAUUCGCCAGGAAGAUACAGUUCUAAAUUUCUGUACACUUUGAGCCAGGUCUGGUGGCAUGUACCUAAAGUCCUUAAUGCUCAGGAAGUUAAGGUAAGAAGAUCCCUUAAGCUCAGAGCUCAAAGUCAACCUGGGAAAUAUAGCAAGAACUCUUCUUAAAAACACGUUUUUGUUUUGUUUUGUUUUGUUUUGCUUCGUUUUGUUUUGUUUUUAUUAUGUUUAGAUAGUAGGUUUCCCCCAAAAGCUCCUGUGUGAGACAAUGCAACAAAUUUAGAGGUGAAAUGACCGGGUUAUAAAAGCCUUAAUCUAAUCAGAGCGUUAAUCCCUUUAUAGGGAUUAACUGGGUGGUAACUUUAAGCAGGUAGGGUGUGGCUGGAGAAGGUGGGUCCUUGGGGUUAUGCCUUUGGGGUUUACAUUUUGUUCUUGUUGAGCAGAGCAGUCUGUUGGCUUCUUAUCACAUCCUGAGCUAAGCUGCUUUCCUCUACCAUACCCUUCCACUGUGAUAGCCUACCUCAAGUAGAUAUCUCUAGCUACUUGGGAGACUGAGGCAAGAGGAUUCCCUAAAUUCAGCAGUUAGAGUUCAGCCUGAGCAAUAUAGCAGGAGUUGGUCUCAAGGAAAGAAGAAGAAGAAGAAAAAGAAGAAGAGGAAGAGGAAGCGGAAGAGGAAGAGGAAGAGGAGGAAGAAGAAAACACUACUUGGAAAAUUCUUGUAUGUUUGAAAAAGAAUAAAAAUUUAAAUGUGAUUCACUGGUUUAAGAAGACCUCAAAACAUAAAUUAGAGGGCUAGGGAUACAGAUUGGUGGUAGAGUGCUUGUCUAAUCCUAGCAGGUAUGAUGACCUGAGUUCAAUUCCUAAUAUCAUGUGCUUUGCUUUCUUUCCUGUCUAUAAAUGCUCAUUCCAUGUUACAGAACAACACUCUUCUGAACCUCUUCUAGCUCUGAAUAUUGUCUGAACCAUGAAUCAGUUUUUGCUUAAAUAAACUGUUAAAUUUGUUAUUUUUUUCUUUUAACAAUAUUAUACUAAUUAAUAUGGAACUUGAAACAUUUCAUUGCCUGAUCUGAUUCAAGUCAACUGAAUAAAUCUUAAAAGGUCAAGUGCCAGCAUCUAAAAAUAAAUUGCACUUAUAUACUACGAAAUAAGUAGAAAUGAAUUUUAGAGAAAUUAUCUUUUACAAAAACAUCAAAUAAAUUUAAUGAGCUAUUUUAUUGAGCUGUUUUUUAAGACUUUGAUAGUAAAUACUAACAAAAAUUUUAGAGAGUGGGAUUCAGUUAAUGACACACUUAAUGGGAAGUAUAUUACUGACAUUAUAUAUAUUUUUUGGAAAAAUAACCAAAGUAAUCUCAAAAAAUCUAAAAGAAAGAAAAUGAAUAAAGACAUUAAUAAAUGUAAACCCUGAAAAAACAAAAAAUUAUGCAAAUACCAAAUAUCAAUAAUGAACAUCACUAUAAUACCAUAACCGUUACAAAUAUAAUAUUCAAGUAAGAAUCAGCCACUUAACUAAUGUCACAAUUUUUUUUAAUUUUGUUAUAAAUGACAGUAGAAUGCAUUACAAUUCAUAUUACACAUAUAUAGCACAAUUUUUCAUAUCUCUGUACACAAAGUAGAGUCACACCAUUCGUGUCUUCAUCCAUGUACUUCAUAUAUGUGAUGUUAUCCAUCUCCUUCCACUAUCUUUCCUACCCCCAUGUUCCGAUGUCACAAAUUUUAACUAAAAAGAACUGAAAGGGGAUAUGGAGUAUAUAGAUUUUCCUUAAGAACUGUAUAAAUACAAAUCUAUGAUUCACCUUGAAUUGAUUUUAUUUUGUGUAGCUGAAGUCAAAUUUGAAGGUUUUUUUUUUUUUUUUACUUUUUGCUUUAUUGCUAUAUGAAUAUUCAGUUGUUCCAGCACCACUAUUUGUAAAGGCUUUUUUAUGUAGAUACUUUAGCUAGUCUAAGUCCUCUUCUGGAAACUUCAAGAACCUAAAAUCAAAUACCUAUUGGGGAAUUGACAUUACAUUAAAUCUAUGAAUCAAUUUGAAGAUAAUUCAUAUCUUUCCAAUAUUGAAUCAUAUAAUCUAUGAAUAUAAUAAUACUCCAUUAAUUCAAUUAUUAAAGUUCUAAAAUUUCUGUAUUUACUAUUGAAGUCUUAAAUAUAGUUCACUAAAACUGUUCACUAAAUUUAUUUGAUGCUAUCGUAAAUGGUAAUUUCUUUAAAAUUCAUUUCUACUUAUUUGGGAGUAUAUAAGUGCAAUUUAUUUUUAGAUGCUGGCACUUGACCUUUUAAGAUUUAUUCAGUUGUCCUGGUAAGCUUGCAUAUGCUAAGUAAGGACUCUGCUUCUAAGCUAUAUCCCUAGCUAUGGUUUGCAUAUUCUUUAGGGUUUUUUGCAUAUAGAAUGAUUCCACAUAUUAAAAGUACAGUUUUACUUCUUUCUUUUAUCUAUAUAUCUAUCACUUACCUAUUAUACAUUCAUCUAAUAUCCUCCAGUUACAGUGAUGUUUAGAAGUAAUAAGAGUACACAUUCUUGACUUAUUUUUAACCUUAGGGCCAAAGUGUUCAAAAAUUUAUGACUGGUCCCCAAUGCAACAACGUUCUGAGGUGGAGCUUUUAGGAAGUGAUUGGAUCAUGAAGGCUCUGACCUCAUCAGUGGAUUAUCAAACUAAUGGUGUUAUUGAGAGGUGGUGGAAAAUGGAUGAGGUAGGGAUUCAUUGGAGGAAGCAGGUCAUGUGUCAUGCCCUCAAAGUACUAUUAUAUCUUGUCUAUGACCUCUUUCUCUCUUCCUCUCUGUUCUACCUACUAUGAGGAAAUCAUAUCUGUUCCACUUCAUCCUUUCUGCCAUGGUGUCUGGUCUUACCACAGGCCCACAGCAAUGGAGCCAGUUGACCAUGGACUAAAAUCAUUGAAACUGUGAGUCAAGAAUAAAUCAUUCCUCCUUUUCUGUUGUUUACACCAGGUAUUUUGGUUAUAGAGACAAACAGCUGACCAACAUAGGAAAUUGGCACUAAGAGGUAUACUAUACCUGUCCAUGAGGUUUGUUUCAGAAACUGUUUUGUGGGAAGAGUUUGAAAAGGUUUAGAAACAUAGGUUAUAGAGGCCAUAGAAUGUUGUAAAGAGGAGCUUAAUGGAACAUUCUGAUAUGAACUUAGAAGACCAGAAUGAUGAUAGAGCUGUGGUAAAUAAAGACUGUGAUCAUGAGGUUUCAGAUCGGAGUGAGGAUCUAUUAAGAUUUGAACCAUACAUGUUAUAUUCUGGCAUACAAUUGGUUCUAUAUUUUUUUCAUGUGCUGAGACAUUGUGUAAGAAUGAAUUUAAAGUGAUUAUCUGGCAGAGGAAAUUUCAGGCAUUUAGGCUUUUUUAGAAAACAUAUUUUUAGUUAUAGAUGGACACAAUACCUUUAUUUUAUUUAUUUAAUUUUAUGUGGUGCUGAGGAUCGAACCCAGCGCCUCAUACUUGCAAGGCCAGUGCGUUGCCACUGAGCACAGUCCCAGGCUUUUAUUCGGGUUUACUGUGAUAAUCAGAAACAACAAUAAGGGCAAAAAGAUGUUAAAAAUUUGAAUUUUGGACAGAAAAGUGCAUGUAAAAUUGGUGCCAAGGAAGAUCCAGUUGCUGAAGAGAUUAGUGCCACUGAAGAAAAGCUAAAUAUUUUUCACAGGGACAGUAGGAAAGACUACUAAAGGGCAUCUCAGGAAUUGACCAGACCCCACCCAUCACACGCUCAAUAGUGUAAAAGUGUAAAUUCAUUUCAAAGAUUUUGCUUUGAGAAAAGAGUGCCAGGGCUUCCUUCUUGCACAGGGCCACCUAGGAAGUUGUUGCCCCAAGAUUUGUUUAAUGGUACGCAGCCAUCCAGGUACUUCACGGCCACUACAACCAUGGUCCAAGUGGGUUCCACUACUGUUCCAACUGGUGGAAGACCUUGACCUCAUCCAUGUGGUGCCGGUUUUGCAGACUUGAAGAAGGUAAGCAUUUCAGGGUUCCACUGGAAUUUUAAAAGUAACUGUGGAAGUUCAGGCAGUAUGUGACAGCAAUGGAAUCCCUGUGGGCAACCCCUGAGAGGAUGGCACAUGAAGUUGUGAGAAUAAAGCCAAAGCUGCAAUGGAGACACCAGGAAGAUGCCAGUGGCAUGGAACAUCUGUCAAGGAAACCUUUAGGCAGCAAGUAGAACCAGCUCAAGAGAGAGGCCAGGUGGAUUAUAACUGGUAAAAAAUGGAGUCAGCUUCCCACUCUCUUGAAUCUAGGUUUUUCUCAAUACUUUUUGUUCAAUAGAGUAUGGCAGACAUAAUAGUUCGUACUUGCAAAGACAGACUGUAAGAAGUUUCACAGCUCAUAUUUUAGAUUUUCAAACCUGGUCUUAGAUCCUCACUGUGAGAAAUUCUAACUGGGUGAAAAGAUUGAGAGAGAAAUAAAUUCUGGAUCCUAGUUCUCUGAGAACCCAAAGCCAUGUGUAGAAUCGCAAGAGGAUGAGACUCCAUGAAAAUUGCUUUGAUUAAUGAAAUGUUAACAGUUGUUGCCUUAUUUUGUUUGUUCUUAAAUUUAUUUUAUUUGCUGAGAUAAAAUUUACAUGACCUCAAAUUCACCAUUUAAGCCAUCUUAAAGUGUCUAACUCAAUUGCAUUUAGUCCAUUGUUACACAAUCAACACCAUCUAAUUUCAGAACAUUUUCAUUACACCAAGAAAACAAACAAGAUGUACCCUAUUCAAUAAAGCAGUCAUUACUCAUUUCCUUCUUCUCCCAAUCCUGAAAAUACUUUCAGUAUCUAUUUGUUUCAUGGACAUUUCAUAUAAACGGGGUUAUACCACAUGCAGCCUUUUGCGUCUGGUUUCUUUCAUUUAGUAUGUGUUAUGGUUUGGGUGUGAGAUGUCCCCCAAAAGUUCACAUGUGAGAUGAUGCAAGAAAGUUCCAGGGAGAAAUGAUUGGGUCCUAAGAAUCUUAACCCUGAUAGGGAGUGGCUGAAGGAAGUGGGAAUUGGGACGUGGCUUUGAGUUUACAUUUGUAUCCAUCUCUCUGCUUCUUGAUCACCAUGAUGUGAGCUGCUUCCCUCUACCCAUACUCCGCCAUGAUGCUCAGCCUCAUCUCAAGCCCCAAGAAAUGGAGCCAGCCUUCUAUGGACUAAGACCUCUAAAACUCUGAGCCCUCAAAUAAACCUUUUCUCUUCUACAAUUGUGCUGGUUGAAUCUUUAAGUCACAACAGUGAAAAAAGCUGACUAAAACAGCAUGUUUCUGAAAAAUCAUCCAUGUUUUAACAUGUAUCAGCACUUUCUCUCAUUGUAGAUGAAAAAUAUUCUAUUGUGUGGAUAUACCGAAUUUGCUCUUUUAUCAGCUCAUGGGCAUUUGGAUUGUUUCUACUUGGCUACUGUGAACAGUACGGCUAUAAACAUUCAUAUACGCGUUUGUUUGUUUGUUUGUUUUUAACGGAGCAUUUUCUACACUUUCUUUGGUAUAAAGUUAGAGGUAUAAUUUCUGGGUCAUGUGGCAAUUCAAUGUUUCCCUUUUAGAAUAAUUGCCAGACAAUUUCCAUGGCAUCCACACCAUUUUACAUUCCCACCAACAAUGAUUACUUCACAUACAUGGAACAUUUUGUUAGUUUCUGGUUUUGUUUUUUCUUUAAAAUACUAUUAUAAGCAUUGUACUGAUAUUUCAUUGUGUUUUUAAAAUUAAAUUUACUUUAGCUGUUACAUGAAAUGUAACUACAUAAAACUUACAUAUUAAUGGGAUACCAUUGUAGUAUAUUUGAGUGAGGUGAAAAAUAUCUAGAUUUUCAAACUCUCAUCAUUCCUUCAUGGUGAAAACAUUCAAAAAUUUUCUAGCUUUUUGACAGUAAAUAACUGUUAUCUACAGACAACCUACUGUUCAGAAAUUCAUACUCCUAUCUAACUAUAACUUUGUACCCAUUAAUCAUUUCUGGAGGAAGAGAUGGGGAAAGGUUGAUAGGAAAAGAUUAUCAGAAUUUAUUUUAUUUAGUUGUACUGUCUUUUCCUUUCAGUUGACACAUGAAUGUACAUAUUUGGGGUGGUGGUACAAUGAUAUUUCUAUUCAUGUAUAAAUUGUAUAAUGAUCAAAUCAGGUAAUUACCUUAAGCAUCUAUCUUUUCUUUGAGAUGAGAACAUUCAAAUUCUGUCUUGUAUCUUCUCUGAAAUACUCAUUACAUUAUUGUUAGCUGUAAUUAUCCUACUGUGCAAAUAGAACAUUGAAACUUAAUUCUACCAUUUGUUACUUUGCAUCCAUUGACCAUCCUCUCCCUAUCUCUCUUCCCCAGCGCCCUCCUAGUCUACACUAACCUCUCUUUUCAAAUGUGCUUUUGUAAUUGAGUGUGCCCUCCUCUAUUUUUAUCAUUAUCUAAGGUGAGCAGCUGCCAUAUCUCUAACCCGGAACUCUUCCUGACAUAAGACCUUAGGCCGAAAGCUGCUCUGACUGACUCAGGUCUAAAGUAGGCAUUAGAGUCACCCACCCAACCACUGUCAACCUCUAGAAAUAAAUCAUUGUUGAAUGUUUUGAGUUGUAUAGUUUUGUUCUGUAGCAUUAUCUUUUACCAAUUGCCCCAAUAAUUUCAUGGCUUUCUGUAUUUUCAAUAAAAAUACAUGGAAUUGUUUACUAAUAUGUGUUAAUUAGAAUACUUAUGGUAUCAGUAUCUCUGUAAGCUCUGUACUGGAAGCUAUCCAAAUUUCCAUGAUAGGUAAUUGGUUAAAUAAAUCGAUGAGAAAAAGGUGGUGAAUAGAGCUGGGCCUGAUAACCCAGGCCUUUAAUCCCAGCUACUUAGGAGGCUGAGGUAGGAGGAUGACAAGUUUAAGGUCUGACUGGACAACCUGGUGAGACCUGGUCUCAAGAUAAAAUGUUAUAUUAAGUAAGUAAACAAAUAAAUAAAUGUGGCUAAGUGUAUAGCUCAGCGGCAGAGCAUUUGUCUAACACGUACAAGGCACACCCACAUACACACAAAGCCAAAUAAAAAGGGCUAGGCACAUAGUAGUCCCAUUUGUAAAAGUCCAAACAAGUGAGCCUACAGUGGAACCAUGGCAGGUGAUAAUGUUCUAUUUCUAUUCCUAGGUUAUAUUUUCACAGAUAAGUUUAUAAAAACUGACAUACACUAUGAUAGGUACACUUAUGAUAGGUGUACUUUUCUGUAUGUAUUUUACAUUCUAAGAAAAAUAUUUUGAAAUAUUUGAAAAUGACCAAAUGGUAAUGUGCAGAUGUAGGAAUGUUAAAAGAUGCUUCCUGGAGAAUUAUUAUACAAUCAUUUUGCAAAUAAUCUUGGAAGUGAUUUGUAAAUGUCUGAAAAAACUGAAGAUAUUCUUGUUCAAAAACCUGAGAGUCCCUUUAAUGGUAACAAACUAUAGGUAUUUCUUUUCAUACAUUUUGACCACAGUGAUAAGUGGAUACAUUUUACAAUGGGAACACAUCCUAACAUCAAUAAAGAAAAAUCAUUACUAAACUAUAUUCACUUUUGAAUGCAUGGUGCACCUUGGAAUUUCCUGUUCUAUUCUUCUAUCCUAUUGUAUCCUUUCUAUGCUAUUCUAUUCCAUUCCAUUCUUUCUAUUCAUUUAUAUUCUAAAAAUGUGUGUCCCAAUAAACUCUAUCAACUUUACAAUUUAUUAAUGUGUUUCAAGCUUAGAAUUGAUCAUAAUUCAUAUGUUGGACAAUAUUGCCAAAGAGGACUUCUCACAGAUGUGUAUAAUAAACACACACAUGCACACACACACAUAUACCUACAUGUACAUACACUGGAGCAUUUUCAUAAGAACAAAAAAAUAGAAACUACAUAAAUGUUCGUCUAUUAUAUGGACUAUAAUAUUUUCAUAUAAAGAAAUAUUAUUAAAUAAUAAAAACAAUUAUUAACCAUAUUAUUCUUUCAAACUUAUACAGCUGACAUAAAGAAGGAAAUCCUGGCAUUUUCUGAUAAAUGGAUGGAACUGGACAAGACCAUGCUAAGUAAAAUUAGAUUCAUAAAAUCAAGGGUCACAUGUUCUCUCUCAGAUGUAGAAGGAAGAGCAUAGUAAUGGAGAAAAAGGGGGUUCAGAUAUCAUAAAGACAGAGGAAAGAUCAGCAGAGCAGAAGGAGAUUGAGGAGGAGGAAGGAGGGAAGGGAAAGAGGAGAAAAUGCAGAAUGAAUUUGGCAAGAUUACUCUAUGUGCAUGAGUAAAGUAGUGAAUUCCAACUUUGUGUGUAUCUAUGAAGCACCAGUUAAAAAUGUAUGAAUUAGUGGAAGAUAGACCAAUAGAGUAGAAGGGGAAUAGGAGGAGGGAAGAAGGGGAAGAAAGAAGGAGGGGCAAUGAGGAUUGAAAUGGAGUAAAUUAAAUUCUAUGCAUGUAUGAUUAUGUCAAAAUGAAC